GACGAACGCUGGCGGCGUGCUUAACACAUGCAAGUCGAACGAUGAAGCCGGAGCUUGCUCUGGUGAAUUAGUGGCGAACGGGUGAGUAACACGUGAGUAACCUGCCCUUGACUCUGGGAUAACUGCGGGAAACUGUAGCUAAUACCGGAUACGACCCUCGGAGGCAUCUCCUGGGGGUGGAAAGAAUUUCGGUCAAGGAUGGACUCGCGGCCUAUCAGCUAGUUGGUGAGGUAAAGGCGCACCAAGGCGACGACGGGUAGCCGGCCUGAGAGGGUGGCCGGCCACACUGGGACUGAGACACGGCCCAGACUCCUACGGGAGGCAGCAGUGGGGAAUAUUGCACAAUGGGCGCAAGCCUGAUGCAGCAACGCCGCGUGAGGGAUGACGGCCUUCGGGUUGUAAACCUCUUUUAGCAGGGAAGAAGCGAAAGUGACGGUACCUGCAGAAAAAGCACCGGCUAACUACGUGCCAGCCGCCGCGUAA
rnacentral:rRNA from 1 species